rnacentral:rRNA from 1 species
CCUACGGGUGGCAGCAGUGAGGAAUAUUGGGCAAUGGCCGGAAGGCUGAACCAGCCAAGCCGCGUGAAGGACGAAGGUGCCAAGCAUUGUAAACUUCUUUUGUCAAGGGACAAAAUCAGGCGCGAGAGCCUGACCGAGGGUACUUUAAGAAAAAGCAUCGGCUAACUCCGUGCCAGCAGCCGCGGUAAUAGGGAGGAUGCGAGCGUUAUCCGGAUUUAUUGGGGUGAAAGGGAGCGGAGGCGGGCUGUUAAGUCAGCGGUAAAAGCCCGGGGCUCAACCCCGGCGAGCAGUUGAAACUGGCUGUCUUGAGAUGUCGAGAGGGAAGCGGAAUGCGAAGUGUAGCGGUGAAAUGCUUAGAUA